rnacentral:rRNA from 1 species
AACGCUGGCGGCGUGCCUAAUACAUGCAAGUCGAGCGAACGGACGAGAAGCUUGCUUCUCUGAUGUUAGCGGCGGACGGGUGAGUAACACGUGGAUAACCUACCUAUAAGACUGGGAUAACUUCGGGAAACCGGAGCUAAUACCGGAUAAUAUUUUGAACCGCAUGGUUCAAAAGUGAAAGACGGUCUUGCUGUCACUUAUAGAUGGAUCCGCGCUGCAUUAGCUAGGUGGUAGGGUAACGGCUUACCAAGGCACCGAUGCAUAGCCGACCUGAGAGGGUGAUUCGGCCACACUGGAACUGAGACACGGUCCAGACUCCUACCGGGGGCAGCAGUAGGGAAUCUUCCGCAAUGGGCGAAAGCCUGACGGAGCAACGCCGCGUGAGUGAUGAAGGUCUUCGGAUCGUAAAACUCUGUUAUUAGGGAAGAACAUAUGUGUAAGUAACUGUGCACAUCUUGACGGUACCUAAUCAGAAAGCCACGGCUAACUACGUGCCAGCAGCCGCGGUAAUACGUAGGUGGCAAGCGUUAUCCGGAAUUAUUGGGCGUAAAGCGCGCGUAGGCGGUUUUUUAAGUCUGAUGUGAAAGCCCACGGCUCAACCGUGGAGGGUCAUUGGAAACUGGAAACUUGAGUGCAGAAGAGGAAAGUGGAAUUCCAUGUGUAGCGGUGAAAUGCGCAGAGAUAUGGAGGAACACCAGUGGCGAAGGCGACUUUCUGGUCUGUAACUGACGCUGAUGUGCGAAAGCGUGGGGAUCAAACAGGAUUAGAUACCCUGGUAGUCCACGCCGUAAACGAUGAGUGCUAAGUGUUAGGGGGUUUCCGCCCCUUAGUGCUGCAGCUAACGCAUUAA